GAUUCAGUGGCUUAGUGCAUAAAGUCUAGAGCUUCUGGACCGGAAGGUCCCGAGUUUGAAUCUCGCCAGAAACA
rnacentral:tRNA from 1 species